rnacentral:rRNA from 1 species
GACGAACGCUGGCGGCGUGCUUAACACAUGCAAGUCGAACGGAAAGGCCCUGCUUUUGUGGGGUGCUCGAGUGGCGAACGGGUGAGUAACACGUGAGUAACCUGCCCUUGACUUUGGGAUAACUUCAGGAAACUGGGGCUAAUACCGGAUAGGAGCUCCUGCUGCAUGGUGGGGGUUGGAAAGUUUCGGCGGUUGGGGAUGGACUCGCGGCUUAUCAGCUUGUUGGUGGGGUAGUGGCUUACCACGGCUUUGACGGGUAGCCGGCCUGAGAGGGUGACCGGCCACAUGGGGACUGAGAUACGGCCCAGACGCCUACGGGAGGCAGCAGUGGGGAAUAUUGCACAAUGGGCGGAAGCCUGAUGCAGCAACUCCGCGUGCGGGAUGACGGCCUUCGGGUUGUAAACCGCUUUCGCCUGUGACGAAGCGUGAGUGACGGUAAUGGGUAAAGAAGCACCGGCUAACUACGUG